AUGAGUGCUCAGCACCGUCAACAGGAGAAAGCUAUGCAGAACACCCCGUGUGCUGAAUCCAUUGCGAUGCCUCGUCCUGAUUUAGCAACCUCAGCUACGGCAAGCACAUGCGGUCACCCCUUCAAAACUUACGCCAUCUACAGUUGCAGUACGAUGGACGAUAAUAUCGUCAUGUUGGAUCCUGCGCAACAAUCCCAUGGUGAACUAAUAGAUUAUGCUCCUACCGUCAUGUCAUCCCCCACAUACAUUCGCAACACCGAAACCGAUGGUAGUUAUCCCAUCAACAAUCAUCUUUCAUUUUUUAAUCAUUCAACAGUUAUUUAUGAUAAUUCAAAAAUGUUGCAGGUGCAUACAUAA
rnacentral:rRNA from 1 species